rnacentral:rRNA from 1 species
CGGUAGGUGACCUGCGGAAGGAUCAUUA